rnacentral:rRNA from 1 species
UACGGGGGGGGCAAGCGUUGUUCGGAAUUACUGGGCGUAAAGGGCUCGUAGGUGGCCAACUAAGUCAGACGUGAAAUCCCUCGGCUUAACCGGGGAACUGCGUCUGAUACUGGAUGGCUUGAGUUUGGGAGAGGGACGCGGAAUUCCAGGUGUAGCGGUGAAAUGCGUAGAUAUCUGGAGGAACACCGGUGGCGAAGGCGGCAUCCUGGACCGGCACUGACGCUGAUGAGCGAAAGCCAGGGGAGCAAACGGG